UGCAGUCGAACGAGAAAGGGAUUGCUUGCAAUCCUGAGUAGAGUGGCGCACGGGUGAGUAACACGUAGAUAAUCUACCCCCAAGCCCGGGAUAACCAUCCGAAAGGAUGGCUAAUACCGGAUGAAGUUUUUGUGCACAAGUGCAGAGAUGAAAGACUGCCUCUUCAUGAAAGCAGUUGUUUGGGGAUGAGUUUGCGUACCAUUAGCUUGUUGGUGGGGUAAGGGCCUACCAAGGCUGUGAUGGUUAGCUGGUCUGAGAGGAUGAUCAGUCACACUGGAACUGGAACACGGUCCAGACUCCUACGGGAGGCAGCAGUGAGGAAUUUUGCGCAAUGGGGGAAACCCUGACGCAGCAACGCCGCGUGAGUGAAGAAGGCCCUUGGGUCGUAAAGCUCUGUCAACCGGGAAGAAGUUAUGCAGCAUGAAUAGUGAUGCAUAUUGACGGUACCGGUGGAGGAAGCGCCGGCUAACUCCGUGCCAGCAGCCGCGGUAGCACGGGGGGCGCAAGCGUUAUUCGGAAUUAUUGGGCGUAAAGGGCGCGUAGGCGGUUCUGUCGGUCAGAUGUGAAAUCCCGGGGCUCAACCCUGGAAGUGCAUUUGAAACAGCAGAACUUGAGUACGGGAGAGGAAAGCGGAAUUCCUGGUGUAGAGGUGAAAUUCGUAGAUAUCAGGAGGAACACCGAUGGCGAAGGCAGCUUUCUGGACCGAUACUGACGCUGAGGCGCGAAGGCGUGGGUAGCGAACGGGAUUAGAUACCCCGGUAGUCCACGCAGUAAACGAUG
rnacentral:rRNA from 1 species